UCCGGUGAGUCGAGAGCCUUUCGUUUUGUCCGGUGACGUCAAACCGGCCUCGUCCUUAUCAAUGUCGUCCAUCGGAGCUAGAAAUUUGGUUUGGUGCUUCCGUUAAUUUGACUGGAUUGUGAGUCCGAAACAGCAAGACAAACAAAUUUCUCAACUGGUGGAAGAGUCGGCGAGACUCGCCAGAAUCUUCACUCCUCCUCAUUGCAUUACUGGAACAGACGAAUCCAAAUUAGUUCCAGACUUGCAAUGCCUUGAAAAUGAGGCGAAUGUAACGCUGAGAUGAAAGGAUUGCAUCGAUGGAUUUCUAGGUUGUUCGGAAAUAGACGGCUCGAGCGUUUUCGUUGAUGAGGUGAAAAACAAUCAGAUCAAAGCCGUGAGUUUCUCUAAUUUUCAAUCGGAGAUGCAAAUUUUUUAUUUUGUAUUUGAAUUAUAAAGUAUAAGGAGCUGGAAGGUGAUGAUGAACAAGCCACUAAGAAAUAAAUCAGAGAGUUACAAAAGGAUAAUGUUGCAUUUAUAAAUAUUUAUAGGAAAUACGAAAAAAUGAAAUGGUAGAAGUUGGAAUGUGGAUUGUUUAUCUUAUAAUGUAUACAAAAAGGGAAGAAGAAAAGAAA